UGCCGCCUACGGGGCGCAGCAGUGGGGGAUAUUGCACAAUGGGGGGAACCCUGAUGCAGCGACGCCGCGUGGUUGAAGAAGCGCCUCGGCGCGUAAAGCCCUGUCAGCAGGGAAGAAAAUGACGGUACCUGAAGAAGAAGCCCCGGCUAACUACGUGCCAGCAGCCGCGGUAAUACGUAGGGGGCAAGCGUUAUCCGGAUUUACUGGGUGUAAAGGGGGCGCAGACGGCGAUGCAAGCCAGGAGUGAAAGCCAGGGGCGCAACCCCGGGAGUGCACUUGGAACU
rnacentral:rRNA from 1 species